AAGUCGCCAAAAAGCUACUUUAGCUUUGACGAUGAAGAAGUUUUAAUUUUAGAGAUAAGAGUUCGAGAACCUCUCUGGAACUUCCAGUUAAACAAGAAAGAAAUACAAGAAUUACAAAUAAAUUGUGGAACGAAGUAUCACAAGCAUUGGGAGUAAAAUUAGUGCUGAAGGAGCCAAAUAAAAAUUUAAAAGCCUACACAACACAUACAGAAAAUAAUUCAAGUUGAGAACUUAGCAAGCGGAUCUGCAAGGAAUAACUUAGAUAGAAAAUGGCGCCAUUAUGAAUCUAUGGACUUCUUAAGAGAUUCAUGUUUGAUAAAACAAACUGUUUCAAACAUGUUCUGUUGAGGCAGAACAUAAGGCUUCCAAUAUUAAUGAUGAAGAUAAGACAUCUUCCAAUGAAUCCUCUCGGGAAAGAAAAAGAUUACGUAUCAAACAGUGUACUUGAGAAGAUUGCUGAUGCUUUGAUAAAUCAAGAACCAGUUUUGCCGUUGCUACUCCCGCCACAAGUAGACGAAGUCGAUGCAUUUCUAAUAAUGCUAGAUCACAGGAUUAAAAUUACCAGAAGAAAAGCAAGUGGAAGCAAAGCUACCCCAAUAGCCAAGUCUGCUAAAGCAGAUCUUGUCAGGGAAUCUGUUACAAAUUGUUGUCGACAGAAUCGAUGCAGAUUCUGAUAUAUCAUGUGAUGUCGGCAGAAUGUCAACAGAAAUAUAAUAAAGUUUGUUAACAUAAUCAGUUACCAGAUUGGCAGCAAAAAUCGAACAGAUUCUGCCGGCAUAACUUAGUGGCAGAUUGGUGGCACAAAAUUGAACAGGAUCUGUGCGAUGCAAUUUGACAACAGAUUGUCGGCAAAAAUCGAGCAGGAUCUGCGCAUACAAUCUCAGAUUGAUGGCAGAAAUGGAACAGGGUUUGCAUAAUUCGAUAGUUCCUUCACUUACCGCUACGUGAGCUGUACUUUCUCGUAAUUGAAUUUCUGUCAGAAAUAUAUAUAAAGUCGCGAAUAUGAA
rnacentral:misc_RNA from 1 species